ACGAACGCUGGCGGCAGGCCUAACACAUGCAAGUCGAACGCUGCAGCAAUGCAGAGUGGCAGACGGGUGAGUAACGCGUGGGAACCUUCCCAGUGGUACGGAAUAGCCCAGGGAAACUUGGGGUAAUACCGUAUAAGCCCCAUGGGGGAAAGAUUUAUCGCCAUUGGAUGGGCCCGCGUCGGAUUAGCUAGUUGGUGAGGUAACGGCUCACCAAGGCGACGAUCCGUAGCUGGUCUGAGAGGACGAUCAGCCACACUGGGACUGAGACACGGCCCAGACUCCUACGGGAGGCAGCAGUGGGGAAUAUUGGACAAUGGGCGCAAGCCUGAUCCAGCCAUGCCGCGUGAGUGAUGAAGGCCUUCGGGUUGUAAAGCUCUUUUGGCGGGGACGAUGAUGACGGUACCCGCAGAAUAAGCCCCGGCUAACUUCGU
rnacentral:rRNA from 1 species